AAUAACAGGGAAAGAUUUGACUGAUUGCAACCCUAAUACUUCUAAUCAUUUUAGAAGUAUGCCAAAGAAAAUAAUUUGGUUAAAAUGCUAAAGCAGUAAUA
rfam:Zunongwangia profunda SM-A87, complete genome.